GGGCCUAUAGCUCAGUUGGUCAGAGCAGCGGACUCAUAAUCCGUUGGUCCUAGGUUCAAGUCCUAGUGGGCCCA
rfam:Legionella quinlivanii strain CDC#1442-ATS-E Lqui_ctg020, whole genome shotgun sequence.